UCUUUUUGUUCUUGUCGGUGUUGUUGUGCGGCACAAGACGCGCCAACGGAACGACCAAGCGCGUGGCUGGAUAAGCGGUGCGUGUAUGUGUGUGGAUCUGUGAAGAAGAGUUUUGGAAGAGGGUCGAACAGUUAAGUGCAAGAUAGCCCCACUCCAAGGCGAACGGGCUUGGCAUUAAGGUACAGGUGUUGCAUCCCCGUCACAAGGCCAUCGGCGUAGACAAGGCAAAGCACACGCGCACGCGCCGCUGGAUCACCAUGGGUGUGCCGCUGCUCUUGACCUGGCUGCGGAAGCGUUUUGCUGACUGCUUCAUGCCAGCCGACAGCGCGGUCACCGACUACAUCCGCGAAAGCACAGACAACCUUUUUAUUGAUCUCAACUCCUUCUUGUACCAGGCCGCCACCAUCAUUACGGCGACGCACCGCUCGCUCCGCUUCAACUCGGUUGAUGAAGUGGAGGAUGUAGUGCUGCGCAAGCUGUUUGACCUCCUCGACGACCUCGUCAUGAACCUCGUUCAGCCCAAGGCGCUGGUGUACAUCGCGGUAGAUGGCGUAUCGCCACUGGGCAAGAUGUCGCAGCAGCGUGCGCGGCGGCGUCGUGGAGCGCGCCGGCAGCCGUCCGCCUCGUCGUCUUCGCCUUCUCGCCAUCACGAGCCGGCGGGCAACAUCAACGACCUGUGGGACAGCAACUGCAUCAGCGUCGGGACGCGCUUCAUGGCCAAGGUGACGGAGGCGCUACACUUUUACGCCGUGAGCAGGACAGAACGAAUCAACGCGAAGCGACUUCGCGAAGAGCGGGUCCGCAUUGACAAGGCCGACGCGUCAGUGGACUCUGCCGCCGGCGACUCCGCCGGUGCGCCGUACGUGUUCCCCUUCCUCAGCAUCAUUGUCGACGAUGUGCUGCGCCCCGGCGAGGGCGAGAACAAGAUCGCCGAGUUCAUCCGCCGCAUCCGCGCUGAUCCGAGCUACGGCCCGAACACGUCGCACGUCAUCUGCAGCUCCGACACGGACGUCACCGUAACCAGCCUAAUCCUGCACGAGCCACGCAUCCAUGUCCUGCGCUACGAGCCGCCAGUCUCGCUGGGAGGUAAGCUGCCCAUGAAGUCUCAGCCACCGCCUCAGCAUCACCAUCAUCACCGCAGCCACCACCAGCACGUGCGUUUCUCCUCUCAUCCACAUCGCGGCAGUGGUCCUUCGUCGCACGGGCCCCGUCGGGUCGACGGACGGAGCGGCCAUGCGCAUCACGGCGCACCACGCCCCUCUCCGCGCCACGGCGCCGGUGCCGCUGCGCAGCCACCGCCCCCGAAAGACAGCUGGCUCUCCACCUUCUUUAGCAUUCACGUCUUUCGGCAGCGGCUGCGUGGCAUCCUUCAUUUGUCACCAAGCAGCGACGCCGCUUCCGCCCUCGCGGGCGCCGCUGUGCCCUCGGUGGACGCCGAGGAAGCCGCCCUCACCUUUGAGCACGCCCUGCACGAUGUUGUCUUCGUGUUGCUGCUCUUCGGCAACGACUUCCUGCCCACCAUCGGCGGAAGCAUCCAGGAGGGCACGUUGGAUGCGCUGCUCUCGCUGCUGGCGACCGACUUUGUGCCGCGUGGGCGCACCUUGGUGGACCCGGCAACAAACCGCAUCCAGUAUGCGUCUGCACGCUACCUGCUCAGUUGCCUGGCGGAGCUGCCAGGCAAUGCAAAGAAAGGUGGAAGUGGAGGUCGUCUGCAGGUGCACAACGGCGGCUCCGACGCGCUGGACUGGGGCUUCACAGCCGAAAAAGAAGCGAAGGAGCGCGACCCCGCCUUUAUCGAGCGGCAGCAGCGGCGCGAGAAGCAGCAUGAGCGCAUGUGCUACUGCUACUGGACGAUGCUGCAGUGGGCACUGCAGUACAGCGCCGGCAUUGUGGAGCACUGGGGCUGCUACUACCCGUACGGCAGGGCACCCCCCUUGUCAAAGCUUGCCACAUACUGCGGUGUGCUCACCUACAGCGCACUCGGGGAGAUUGCGCGACGGCGACUGGAGAUGAACGCCGCCGCUGGGCGUGCCACGAGUAGCAUCGAUGGCGAGGUCGGAAACGCCAACGAGGAGGAGGACGAUGACGACGCCAUGGACGGGCUUCCGACGUCAGUGCUGCAGGCCGGGGAGGCUGGCACGGCGGUGGUCGAUGCUGCAGAGCGAGGCAAGCCGACGGAUGUGAUGGUGCAGCUGCUGAUCCUUAUCCCUCCGCGCAGUGUGGCGCUGCUGCCCACUGUCUUUCGGCAUCACUACAAGGAAGUCGAGGCGGCUGUGCAAGCGCCCGUGGAGCAGCUGAACCUAGUGUCCAUCGGUGCCUGGUGCGAGGAGAAGAAGCGGUCGCUUAGCGAGGAAGAGCGGACGCGCUUCACGGCGUACCAGUUCUUCGCCUCCGACGCCGAUCUCGGCACCGCCGAGGCACCGUUUCCCGCGCGAGACAUCGCCUUUACCGCCUAUUGGAACGGCCCUGCCGUCGAGGCGGAGUUGGCAGCGCUGCGGGUGAGCAAGAAGGCAGCAAUAAGUGCUGCCGCUGGCAUCACCUUCACGGCCGGCGCCACGUCGUCCACUUCGGCGGCGGGACUGCAGAGUAGGGCCGCCUCCUUUUUCAGCAUGGGUCGUCGGCCGACUUCCGGCACCUCAAGCAAUGGCGGCGCAGCAGCACUCUUGGCAACAAUCAACAUCACAAGCGCACGUGCCUCGCCGCCACCGGCGCCGGCCACGGCGGAGAUUGCGACGCCACUCGAAGAGACGCCUGCAAGCCCGUCGACUGAAGCAACUCCGGCACUGCAGCAGCAGCAUCAGCCCGUAAAGCUGCAGCACCCAGCAGGCGACUACGUACUCUGGGUGGUCCCAUGCGACGCUCUGCAAGACGCGCUGAUGGUCAAGGCGCUGGGUACGGUGCACGGGAACCGCUUCUGCGUGGGCAGCUACGUGCCGCUUGUGGAGCAAGACGCCGUACUCAGUCGCAGCGGUGGGCCACGGCAGGAAGUGCGGCUGCAGUUCCGCCUGGCUGUGGCCCCAAUGAUCACGGACACAACGUACGGGGCGCGCCUGCUGUCGGGGUACGAGGAGCCGGCGGAGGUGGGCAUGCGCGAGCGGAUCGCGGAAGCGAGAAAAGAGGAAGCCGACCGGGCCGAUCCGUGGAAGCAGCUGGACAAGAUGCAGACGCUGCGACAGGAACGCAAGCGUGCCCGCGACGUCGAGAACGUACACGCGUCUGGUGAAGGGGAGCUAGACGGCGACCUUGCGCACGCUGCACCGCCGAGCGCCGGCGAUGAUGGCCAGAUGCCGCAGGAGGUAGAGCUGCAGGAGCGGCCGCCGCCUCAACAGGUGACGGUCGACACUGUGGACUCUACAGUGCAGGUGGCCGAUGCGGAAGCGCUUCUGAAACUUCGCAAGGAGGAAGCGCGGCGACGGUUAACUGCCUUGAAGGCUGCUCGGCAGGCCGCGCAGCAGGACGAGUGAUGCACCUAACGCCAUGCUCGGAAGGCGUGCCUUGGAUAGCGAACGCGAACAAUCAACUCUUGCUUGCUCGCUCUCUACUUACCGCUUCCUCAUCCUAUUCAGCAAGUGAGUGUACCGGUCCCUGCGGAAUCAGCAGCAGCAAAGCAGCCACGCUCGUACACGCAGUCAAGUGGACGAGCGCGACAGUGGCGGGAGGGGUGGGCAGCGACAGAAACAGGAGAGAAGAGGGGGAUUAGUUGAAGUAUAUCAAAGGCCUUCAGUCGAUUAAGGGUGCGCGCACUAGCGUACCAUCCACUGUUGCCUCUGCUAGGCAAGUACGCGUGAGCAUGACGGGGAGAAAGGGUGCAACUGUUGCUGUGCGUCACACAGGAGGCAGCCAGGGCGUGUGCUGGGUGAGCCAAUGGGACCGUUCGUUCGACUCGCAUGGGAGCCGAAACAACGGUGGCGCACCACUCAAGCAUGAAAGCAAAAAACUGUCGAAGGCGGGCGCACCGUCGGCACUCUGCGCAGGCACAGUCGUGCACUCGCCUCACCUGCACCCCCACCCCCUACCCGUACGUUUGCUCGCUUGCCCUCCUCCCCCCUUCCCAUGCCACUUGGCAUCCGUUUCUGCUCUCCUCCUCGCCCCUGCCUGCCUGCCUACCUCUCCCUGUACGUGCGUGAGCGUCUCAACUGCGAUAUGUGCCAUCACCGUGAAGGCAUACGAAAGCACAAGCACAGAGACGUACGCACGCGUUUCUCAUUAAUCUCUUCUUUCUGUGUGUGGGUGUACGCGCGUGCGUGCGUCGCUCUUUGAUUGUGUCUGGGCCUCAUCACGGCGCCGGUUGUGUGGCGGUUUCCGUUGUUGCCCUUUGCCUCCCCUUGUCAUCUCCAAUCACGUUCACCUACGCAUCUCGUCUGCGGCCGCCCUCCCCGACUCACUCUUUCUCUCUCUCUCUCUCGUUGUCGCGCUGGGGGAAAAACAGAAGACGCAGAUGCACACGAAACGUUGUAUCCGCUGUUCUUUGCCGCUCCCCCGCCUCCCUUUCGUUCCGCCCCGUUUGCCCCGACCGCUCUCGCGUCGUGCCUGCCUCCGUCGGCUUGCGUGUUUAUGUCGUUGCGCCUUCUUCCUUGUAGCUCGGUCGACGCCGGCAAUGCAGCGCUUUGGGCUGUCCGCUUGUAUCCACCGGCUGUGGUGCUGCGGGUGCUCGCUGGUAGCGGCAACGUCCUCGUGGAGAAGGGAGGGAGGAGGCGCUGACGCUGAUUCACUGGAUGUGGAGUACGCAUGGGGAAUUGUGGCGCGACAAGGUGCUGCGCUGCGGCGAAGGGGCGCUUCGCCUCUCCCCCGUCGCUGCCACCAGCACCAGCGGUGGUUGCUUGCCCUUCGCUAAUUGAGCCUACCGCUUGCUAGGCGCGGUGCUCACUGGCACGGCCCCGGCCGGGUGUCCGUCCCCUUUCCAAGAAGCGUGGUGCCUCAUCGAAAGCCUGAGCAGCAUUCCGCUGAAGGGGGAUACGGACGCGCGGCGGGGUGGAGGCGUGGCUGCUGCAGAAUGGACCCACGGGCAUUUGCACGCAGGCGAACGUACGACUCUUGCGGUACAAGGUGAGUAGCUUGAUCUCUCCCAAGGAUGCCCCACCAGCGUGGAGAGUUGGGGCUGCGCUAGAUCAUUCACGGCGUGGACAACAUAUCAUAGCGCCAAAGCGGCGAGGCCGUGCAGACGGCUCUGCGGCAGGUUGAGUCCCUCGCCGUGUCGCAGGAGGGUUUCCGCCGCUUAGCGAGCUCUCCGUUUACUACCAGUUCGGCGCCACACUUCCGUACAAGACGACGGCGCCGUGCGCUGCUGUACGACGGCUAUUCGAGGCGCCGUGUGUCGUGGGAAUGGCGGACUCGAAGCACUUCACGUUCACGACACCGAAGCGCCCCUUUGUGUACGCCCUGUGCGAAGUGGACAGCGCACGUAGAAGGCGGCGCUUGUGUGCGGCUGUGCCUGUGUGUUAUUCCUUACCGUUGUGUGUGGAAGGAGGGGGAGGGAAACUGGUGGGGCAAGAGAUGGGGCGAGGGCCUGACUGUCUUUCUGCCUCACAGUCUUCCCCGCUGCCCUGGGUCGCCCUUCCCCAUAUAUAUAUGUGUGUGUGUGUUAUGUCGAACUCUCACCCACUCGGACUGCCACGCAUAAGCCGCAAAGGACGCAAGAAGAGGAAGGGAGACAGAGGACAUAGUCGCUGUCUCCGUUCUCCCUCUCUCUGUGGUGAGGGGGACGGCGGGGGCAGCGGUUUGCCGCUUCUCC
rnacentral:misc_RNA from 1 species